rnacentral:rRNA from 1 species
CCUACGGGAGGCUGCAGUCGGGAAUAUUGCGCAAUGGAGGAAACUCUGACGCAGUGACGCCGCGUGCAGGAAGAAGGUUUUCGGAUUGUAAACUGCUUUAGACAGGGAAGAUAAUGACAGUACCUGUAGAAUAAGCUCCGGCUAACUACGUGCCAGCAGCCGCGGUAAUACGUAGGGAGCAAGCGUUAUCCGGAUUUAUUGGGUGUAAAGGGUGCGUAGACGGGAAUGCAAGUUAGUUGUGAAAUCCCUCGGCUUAACUGAGGAACUGCAACUAAAACUACAUUUCUUGAGUGCUGGAGAGGAAAGUGGAAUUCCUAGUGUAGCGGUGAAAUGCGUAGAUAUUAGGAGGAACACCAGUGGCGAAGGCGACUUUCUGGACAGUAACUGACGUUGAGGCACGAAAGUGUGGGGAGCAAACAGGAUUAGAUACCCGGGUAG